CAUACUGCCCAACUGUCCCGCUUUCCGCAGGACAGUCAUGGUUUUGGUAGUGCAUCCCGCUGUCAGGGAUAGUUCCAUGAAUGUUCCACAUUACAGGACAACUAUCCGGGACAGCAGGAUGCACUACCAAAACCAUGACUGUCCUGCGGAAAGCGGGACAGUUGGGCAGUAUGAUAUUGA
rnacentral:pre_miRNA from 1 species